AAGUCGUAACAAGGUUUCCGUAGGUGAACCUGCGGAAGGAUCAUUAGAGAGUGAUCUGGUUUUGCCGAGAGGCUGAGACCGGUUACCCGACCUGAUGUCAUGUGUUUUUGUGCGCUGUGAACGCUGUGGCUGUGCUGGAAUGGCGUAGCCACGGCGUUUUGGCGACAGCAAAACUUCGGCGGAAGCGGCGACAGUCGAUUGACGGUAGCCCGCCGCCGGCCAUUGCUUUCAAAAAGUCUUGUGAAAACGAUGAAGUCUAUAUGAUGUAACCGAUAGGAAGAUUGGUGAAAAUGAAAUAAAAAAGCAAAACUUUCAACAACGGAUCUCUUGGCUCUG
rnacentral:misc_RNA from 1 species